CUCGAUGCUCUCACCCUUAGGGAACGUUGGGAGUGGCUGGAGGGCUAGAGAGGCCGGAAGUGCAGCGAGCCCGGGGCCGCGCUGGCCGCGCCGGCGGUGGGACGCCUCGAUCUCCCUCCAGUCUUCCCAAUGCUCAGGGCCUAGGAGACCCCAGAAGGACCUUGCGAUGGACGAAGAGGGAGGCCAGAAGCCGGCUGCCUCACCCACAAGGAAGAAAUUCGUCAUACCACUGGACGAGGAUGAAGUCCCUCCUCCUGGGUAGGACUAGGAGAUGAAGGGACUGCUAGGAGGCUUGGAGGGGGGCGGUCUGCGGAGAAAGGGGGACAGGAUGGGGCCUUUGGGACCACAGUGUGGGUUAGAAAGUGUUGGGCCUGGUCACCUUGAGAAAACAGUCCUUUGCCCUCUGCAAGUCUCAUUUUCUCUACCUGUAAAAUGUCAUGGUCAGGAGCGCUAAGGCAGAGGCCACAAACUGGCAGCUGGGCAAUAGUCCUGCGAUAUGGUUUAUGCAGCCAGCACCCUGGUUCUGCAAGGCAUGAAUUCAUUGCUGAUAUUUAGAAUUGAGGAGUUCCUGUCGUGGCUCAGUGGUUAGCGAAUCCGACUAGGAACCAUGAGGUUGUGGUUUUGAUCCCUAGCCUUGCUCUGUGUGUUAAGGAUCUGACGCUGCCAUGAGCUGUGGUGUAGAGGUUGCAGUCGUGGCUCGGAUCCCGCGUUGCUGUGGCUGUGGUGUAGGCUGGCAGCUAUAGCUCCGAUUCGCCCCUAGCCUGGGAACCUCAUAUGCCACCGGAGUGGCCCUAAGAAAUGGCAAAAAGACAAAAAAAAAAAAAAAAAAAGAAUUGGAAGGUUUGGAGUUCCCGCUGUGGCGCAGGGGGUUAAGAACAGGACGGCAGCAGCUAGGGUCGUUUUGGAGUGCGGGUUGGAUCCCAGACUGGAUGCAGUGGGUGAAAGGAAUUUCGCAUUACUGCAGCUUUGGCUCAGAUUCAGUCCCUGGCCUGGAAACUUCCAUAUAAAGUGGCUGCGGCCAUUAAAAAAAAAAAAAAGAAUAAUUGAAAGUUUUUUUUUUUUAAAGUCUGCACCUUUGAGGAGUUCCUGUUGUGGCGCAGUGGAAAUGAAUCCGAUUAGGAACCAUGAGGUUGCAGGUUUGAUCCCUGGCCUCACUCAGUGGUUAAGGAUCCCACGUUGCUGUGAGCUGUGGUGUAGGUCACAAAUGCGGCUCAGAUCUGGUGUUGCUGUGUCUGUGGUGUAGGCCAGCAGCAACAGCUUCGGUUCGACCUCUAGCCUGGGAACCUCCAUAUGCAGCGGGUGUGGCCCUAAAAAGACAAAAGACAAAAAAUAAAAUAAAAAAAGUAAAGUCUGGACCUUUGACC
ensembl:lncRNA